UACAGAGGUCCCAAGCGUUGUUCGGAUUCAUUGGGCGUAAAGCGCGUGUAGGCGGCCAGAAAAGUCCGCUGUGAAAACUCGAGGCUCAACUUCGAGCUGUCGGUGGAAACUUUCUGGCUAGAGUCCGGAAGAGGAGAAUGGAAUUCCUGGUGUAGCGGUGAAAUGCGCAGAUAUCAGGAAGAACACCCGUGGCGAAGGCGGUUCUCUGGGACGGUACUGACGCUGGAGACGCGAAAGCGUGGGAGCGAACAGG
rnacentral:rRNA from 1 species